rnacentral:rRNA from 1 species
CCUACGGGCGGCAGCAGUGGGGAAUAUUGGACAAUGGGCGCAAGCCUGAUCCAGCCAUGCCGCGUGAGUGAUGAAGGCCUUAGGGUUGUAAAGCUCUUUUGUCCGGGAAGAUAAUGACUGUACCGGAAGAAUAAGCCCCGGCUAACUUCGUGCCAGCAGCCGCGGUAAUACGAAGGGGGCUAGCGUUGUUCGGAAUCACUGGGCGUAAAGCGCACGUAGGCGGACCAUUAAGUCAGGGGUGAAAGCCUGGAGCUCAACUCCAGAACUGCCUUUGAUACUGAUGGUCUCGAGUUCGGAAGAGGUUGGUGGAACUGCGAGUGUAGAGGUGAAAUUCGUAGAUAUUCGCAAGAACACCAGUGGCGAAGGCGGCCAACUGGUCCGAUACUGACGCUGAGGUGCGAAAGCGUGGGGAGCAAACAGGAUUAGAUACCCUAGUAGUC